rnacentral:rRNA from 1 species
UACAGAGGUGGCAAGCGUUGUUCGGAAUUACUGGGCGUAAAGGGCGCGUAGGCGGCCAUCUAAGUCAGACGUGAAAUCCCCCGGCUUAACCUGGGAACUGCGUCUGAUACUGGAAGGCUUGAGUAUGGGAGAGGGAUGUAGAAUUCCAGGUGUAGCGGUGAAAUGCGUAGAUAUUGGGAGGAACACCGGUGGCGAAGGCGACCACCUGGACGAUGACUGACGCUGAGGCGCGAAAGCGUGGGGAGCAAACAGG